CACCAAUCCUUUCACCUGUCCUUAGCUCUUCCUCCUGGAGACAAUAGAAAGCACCCUGUUAAGAUCUGAGGUCAGAGAAAGAUCCCAGAGGACAUGCACGGGAAGGGGCUGGACUCGAAAGCAUCUGUGGAAGAUUUGGCAUUGAGCUAGAAAAAAAUUAUUUAUCUUUUGAGACUGAAGGAAAGGAAACUGACUAUAGGAAUGUUUAUGGAUGGUGGUGUCAGAGUGGGGAAGGGGGUUUAAGAUCACCUAUAAUGGUUUUGAUAUUCUGAGUAAAGCAGGAGACCAGCUCAUCCUUCCUAGAUGCCUGGGGAGGGCACUGAAGGUUUGAGAUGGUGGUGAGGAUUUGUCUUGCUGUAACAGAGUACCUGACACUGAAUAAUUUAUAAAGAACAGAACUUUAUUUAUCACAGUUCUGGAGGCUGGGAAGUCCAAGGUCAAUGCCAGCCAGUAUCUAUGAGGAGCUUUUUACUAUGUCCUCCUGUGGCAGAAGAGUGGGAGAGAGCAAACCCGCUCUGCAAGCCCUUUUUAUAGCAGUCUUAAUCUAAUCACAAAGGCUCUGCCAAACACCUCCCAACACAGUUGCACUGGGGAUUCAAUUUACAACACAUGAAUUUGAGGGGACACAUUCAGACCAUAGUGGGGGUUGUAUCAGGGGACCAGUAGCACAGCAAAAACGGAAAAGGAGGGGUGUCCAACUACUAGUGAUGAGUGGAGAGUCCCACAUCUUUAAGUGUAACAAUGGGGAUGUGGUCUGGGAGCUGUGUCAUUAGGAAAUUUCAUUGUAAAAACACCAAACGGUGCUAACCAAACCCAGAUGGUACAGGUGAGUCACUGACAUAGCCUCUCCCUGGAAUCAAGGCUCACUGUAGAGAGGAGAUUUAUGAAGCUGCUACUGGGAGAUUCACCCCAUAAGGUUUUAUAGGGAGCUUUUCUUUAGUAACUAGAAGGAAUACACUCUAAAAUCAGGAUAAAAAGUAUAGUAAAGACAUAAGCCAGAGUAG
rnacentral:lncRNA from 1 species